rnacentral:lncRNA from 1 species
CACACUGACAAUCAACAAAAACAAAAACAAAAAACGCAAAAUGGAAUGUGAGACCUGCCCCAAGGGAAAUCAGAUAAACUGCUGAAGAAGUUCAGAUUAGGGGCUGUUCUCUUUCACCUGGAAAUGGUGUUCUCUUUCACCUGAAAAGUUCAGGAAAUAGACCCUACGGGCUGGAGCCCAAAUCUGAAAAACUUUCUUCAUUCUUCCAACAGUAGCAAUUUUUCCUGGCUCCACUUUACAGAAAUGAAAACCAGGACAGAGACGUGAGGAAUUAUUUGCCCUCUGAUCAUCCAGGUGAUUAGCAACACAGCCAGAUAGAGAACUAAAAGCUGAUGAUUGAAAAUUUCCCCCAGAAACCGGUGGUGAAAGCACAUAUCACUAGGAAGCUCAUCUUAGAAGACGAAAUCCACAGAGCUGUUCCCUUUGUCUCCCUUCUUAGGUCAAUCCCAAAGACACACCAACCAAGUCAAAGAAGGAUUUUUUUUUUUUUAAAGUCAUAAGCAAGCUGGAAUCAUAUACAAAUAUCUGGCCUAAAGUAAGCCAAGGUCUCUGCAGUGUCCCAUCCUCCUCCUGGGGAGGCCAUUCUUUGUAUGAAGUCUUCAGCCCCAUUACAAGUGAGUUGCAGGGGACCUCAUGUACGGGGAACAAGAGCUAGCCCACAAAUGAAAACCCAGGAAAGCCCUCUGCUUUUGCACAGUGAACGAACGUGGCCACAGGCUUCUCAGCAUUGAAUUUGAACGAGCCAAUGGUAGCCCAAUCACUGAAACAGGAAGCCAGAUAAACAGCAUGUUAUCAAGGGGGGAUCCAGCUCUUCCCUUAAGCCGGCGCCAGCUGCGCCCUGUGACUAUCCUAACAAAGUCCCAUUGACUCACCAGCUGAUUUUCCUGUGUUCGGCUCCGGGGGACAAGGAACCCUCUCUGCCGGGUGGACGUCACCCCUACACACCGCCCCCGCCACCCGCCACCCGUGUCCUCUCCAGUUCCUGCCUCCCCUCUGCCCGCUGCAGACUUGGCUGCUUCUUUAUCCUAUGACCAGCUUUUAUCGGCUCUGAGGAUUAGCAGGGACCAGAGCCCAAGCCUCGGGAGCGCUCAGGGACUUGGGAGUGGGACGAGGGGGAAGAAGAGGAGAAAGGAAACAACAGUACCUGAGGAGAGUGAAUGGGACGAAGGCCCUCAGCCAGAACCUACUGCAACCUCUCUGAAGCAGUGCAAGCCCCCUGCCUCCUGGCCUGGGUACUUCCAGAGUCUGCAGGAAGAAGGCAGAAGGAAGUCAGAUGGCCUGAGCUUUGAAGCAGGCUUUGAGCUACAUGGGAGAAAGGGAGUAGCUGUGGCUCAGGACCCAGCAGAUUCCCCUGCUCCAGCCAACAAAUAUGAGUACUGAUUUAUUCCCAGGGCCAUGGGGUUGCAAGUUGGAGGGCUGAUGGAUAGAAAGCAAAACUGCCUACUCCCUGGGAGGUCUCAGAGCUCUUUGCCAGCAAAGUCAGUGUGAGCAGAGUCAGGAUGAGAGCCCUUGAGUCCUCCCUGAACGCCCUCACCCAUUUAGUCAGGCCACAGUGACUUUGAAUAUGGAGAGAUGAGACACCCGACAGUGGACAAGCAGUGACAUUCAAGAAGUUCCCAAUGGAUCAGGGAAAAAGAUUUGUUGUAUGAUUUUUGUCCGUGAAGGGAGUGAAUUGCCUUUUGGUGAGGGAUAAGGGGGUGGACUGCAGAGUGACACCCUUACCCUCUGUAUAAAGACUAGAAGUGUGGGCUCUUAAGGCAGACUACAUGGGUUCAAAUCCUGGCUCAAUGAUUUUUUAGCCAUGGGAGCUUAAUGAACUCUUUAACUUGUAGCUACAUUUCUUCAUCUGUAAAAUGGGAUAAUAAUGGUUCCUAGCUCCUAAGAGUGUUGGGAGGAUUAAAUGAGAUAGUAUAGGUGAUACACUUAGAAUAGUGCCUGGCACAUAGUAAAUACUCAGUAAACAUUAGCUGUUACUUUGAUCUGGGAGUUCUCUAACUCUGUGCCCAAUUUGGCAUUCAAUGAUGUGCUGGCUAGAAUUCUUUUGUGCUCUUCCCAGUCCUGCAAAGGGGAGCCUAGUCCUUUAAGAAGAAGCACUGUCCUUUCUUGAGAGCUCAUAAGGCGGGACCCCAGAGACCAAGGACCACACAGUAGGCAUGCAAAUAACUAUCAGAAGGUGAAAUGACUCCUUGACCCAUUGUGAAGCUGGAUGCAUAGCUCCAUCCACAUUGGUAAUGCUGGCAUGAUGUCAUUCCUUGGGUGCUACCCAGAAUGGAAAAGAAAGCCAAAGCUAUAAUUUUGUAAGAGUUAGAUCUCUUCCAUCACUACAUAGGAUCAAUAUUUCUCUCCCACUUAUGAGUGGAUGCUCAUACAAGUUCUCCCU